GCCAGGUGUGGUGGUACACGCCUGUAAUCCUAGCUACUAGGAGGCUGAGGCAGGAGAAUCACUUGAACCCAGGUGGCAGAGGUUGCAGUGAGCCAAGAUCACACCACUGCACUUCAGCCUGGGCAACAGAGCAAGACUCCAUCUCAGGGAAAAAAAAAAAGAGACGGAGGGUCACUCUAUCGCCCAGGUUGGAGUGCGGUGGCACAAUUUCGGCUCACUGCAACCUCCGCCUCCCAGGUUCAAGCGAUCCUCCUGCCUCA
rnacentral:sRNA from 1 species